GAUGAACGCUGGCGGCGUGCCUAAUACAUGCAAGUCGAGCGAACAGACGAGGAGCUUGCUCCUCUGACGUUAGCGGCGGACGGGUGAGUAACACGUGGAUAACCUACCUAUAAGACUGGGAUAACUUCGGGAAACCGGAGCUAAUACCGGAUAAUAUAUUGAACCGCAUGGUUCAAUAGUGAAAGACGGUUUUGCUGUCACUUAUAGAUGGAUCCGCGCCGCAUUAGCUAGUUGGUAAGGUAACGGCUUACCAAGGCGCCGAUGCGUAGCCGACCUGAGAGGUGGCUCGGCCACCCUGGACCUGGGCCACGGUCCGGACUCCUACGGGGGGCAGCAGUAGGGAUUCUUCCGCAAUGGGCGAAAGCCUGACGGAGCAACGCCGCGUGGGUGAUGAAGGUCUUCGGUUCGUAAAACUCUGUUAUUAGGGAAGAACAAAUGUGUAAGUAACUAUGCACGUCUUGACGGUACCUAAGCAGAAAGCCACGGCUAACUACGU
rnacentral:rRNA from 1 species